CAGUGUUACAGCUCUUAGAAUUUGUCUAGUAGGCUUUCUGGUUUUUGCCAGAAAACCUCA
ensembl:snRNA U7 U7 small nuclear RNA